UGACCAAUUCCAUUACCAAAUUGAACACAUCUACCUUAGACUAUUCUCUGUUAAUCUUAAGGAGAUGACAUGUUCUUGUAGGAGAAGGGACCUUGUCAUCAUGCAAUUGCGGCUAUUUGGGUUAAAAAGGAUGAACCCGAAAUGUAUGUCCACGAAUGCUACACAACUGAGCAGUAUAUGAAGAGUUGCGGACCCUCAAUCCUGCCAAUUAAUAGCUCUGCACAGUGGCCUAAGACAGGAGUAGAUCCAGUGCUGCCACCCAUUUACAAGACUUAGCCUGGCAGACCGAAAAGAUUAAGAAAAAGAGGACCCGAUGAGACAUCUCCAAAAGAAUCAGAUCUUAAAAAGCAUAACUCAUUAAAAGCAUCCAGAAAAGGAAAAAAGAAGAACUGUGUUACAUGUGGAAAAACAGGACAUAAUAGUAGAAGAUGUCCUAUUAUCAUGCCGAACCACCAAGAAGAGGUUCAACAACAACUUAGCAGAGAAGGUCCUUCUAGCGAACCAAGCAAUGUAACAUAAGCAAGUACUCCAAAUGUACUUCUUUUUUUUUAUUAAUUCUUUGCUCUAGCGAACCAAGCAAUGUAACAGAAGCAAGUACUCCAAAUGUACUUCUUUUUUUUUUUUAAUUCUUUGCGAUGAGUUGGUUAAAUUUAUCAAGACUGAAACCACUAAAGAUUUUGCUUAUGCAGGUUUCAAGUAUUAUUAGUGAGAGUCAAGCAUCAAUGCAAUCUAGUUCCUCGUUUGUGACUAAACAAACAGUAAUUACAUUUCUUGAAACUUAUUCUUGUUUUAGAAAAGAUUUUUUUUCUUACUAUAUGUGUAGUAAAUAUUGGAACUCUUUUUUUUUUACUGUUAAGUGGUAAAUAUUGAAACUUACCAGCUGAUCUUGAAAUUUAUUCUUGUUUUAGAAAAGAUUUUUUUUCUUACUAUAUGUGUAGUAAAUAUUGGAACUCUUUUUUUGAUUGUUAAGUGGUAAAUAUUGAAAUUUACCAGCUGCCUUAUGUUCUUAUAUAUAGGUCAGAUCAAACAACUUAACCAGCAAAUGGCACAGCCCGGAGAGCAACUAAAGAGUUCGGCAUUCAUUUUAGCAGAAAUUGGCGAGCACUCUAGGGAAGGUACAAGCUCACUCUUCAUCAUGAGGGAGGGAAGACAAUACAUUCCACCAUCAAGAUUAAGGGAAGCACUUUCUAAAACUAGCAAGAGAGGAGGAAAGGGACACCUUUAAAAGAGAACUGCUGGCUCAUCAUAAAUACAGAAAUCAAGAAAGUGAUGAACAAGGAAUGUGAUUUACUGAUUACUGGCUCAUCAUAAAUAAAGAAAUCAAGAAAGUGAUGAACAAGGAAUGUGAUUUACUGAUUUUAGAUCUAUUUCUUUUGUGAUGACUUUAAAGUUAGUUAUGUUCAUGGUGAUGGAAUAGAGGCAUCGAAACAACCAAGCAGUACUUUACAGUUAAAAAUAAUGAUUUAUGAGACAAUUGUUUAAAAAAUUUAUGGAUAAUCAUGUUCUGUUUCUGAAUGCUUGUGCCAUGAACACCAAACUUUGUUAGGUACCUGCAAAUCACCAGAUAGGUCCUUCACAUUGUCUUCAGAAAGUAAGAUUCCUCAAUGUCUAACAUUCGACAAGUUGUCAAGAGCACAAACCUUCUCAAGUUUUUUGUAAGUUUUUAAGGCAUCUCUUCUUAUAUCCUCAAAGCUACCUGUAAAUGUUUCAAAGAGCUAGUGGUAAGUAUCCAAUGGACUUGAUUAAUAGGCAAUAUAUAACAGGCUAACUACUCCGUCAUAAUGGGUCAAGCUACCUAAGCUUUAAAUUGAUAUGAGAGAAUGUUUUAGAUUAGAUUAACAUCACUAUAUUCAAAGAGGUAGCUCAACUUCAUACAAUGACUGCAAUCAUAAAUUCAGUUUAUUGAGCACGUUAACACCAAGUUUAUUGCUUACUGCCAUAGGAAAACCAUAAUACACAGAGAAGUUGUUUGAAUUUCGAUCGGAAUUAUGUAUCACAAAGUGGGAUAGAGAGUAUGAAGAGGUAGCUCAACAUCAUACAAUGACUGCAAUCAUAAAUUCGGUCUAUUGAGCACGUUAACACCAAGUUUAUUGCUUACUGCCAUAAGGACCAUGGAGAGAGUACCUUUACAAGCACCAGAGUAAAGGUAUAACUAAAAUGAAGAACAAUAAGAGAAGUAAAAGUGCAACUCAAGUAGAAUUGAAUGUAGUGUAUUAUUCACAUAUUUACCAAAUAAACUUUGGGGAAACUGACGGGGUGAAGUAGACUUAAGUUGGAAAUAGAAAUUAUUCACAUAUUUACCAAAUCAUAAACUUUGGGGAAACCGACGGGGUGAAGUAGACUUAAGUUGGAAAUAGAUGUAACUAUAUUUUUUUUCAUAAAAAUAUAUUACUGUAAGCCAUAAAUAAGAUUCAUACCUUGGCUCUACAAUAUUCAAUAUUGAUUAAAUUUUACCAAAUCAUCCAUGGGAACAAACCCUGCCCGCCCUUAACUUAAUCUAAUUAGGUUGGUAUUAUUACGCCUAUACUCGAGUAAAUGCACACACAAGAUUAAAAGGUAAAAUCAUGCAAUACCAAGUGAUGUAAGAUCAAAAGAGUAAACUGUAGAUACAAAUCAAGAGUGACCACAAGCAGGGGCGGAUAUACUAAGACCCGUGGGGGUGGUACGCCACCCGCAAGCUUUGGCCGAAACCUUAAUUAUAUAUGUAUGCCUGUAUGCGAAAUGAGAUAAAUAACCCAAGUGCCACCUAGAGUAACAAAAGUUGCAAAGGUGCCAGUGGCAAAUGGCUGAUAAAUCUUCCUUGGCAGCGAGAGAUCGAACCACUGAGCCUGCACCUUUUAAGCUCCUUAUUUUUGUUUCUUUAAUUUAACUACAUCGUUCUUUGUUAGUCAAUCUUGACUUUUUUAUCCUAUUAGUUAGUAGCAUUUUGUUUUUUUCACCCCAACUUAAAACAACAUUUCCUUUUCAAAAUCUAUGCUCCCAUUAGAAUCCCAAACAAAAACCCUUGACCAUCAUCCCAACUUCCACCCCUUCGCUAGCGCCGCUAUCAGUCUUCACUUCCUUUCCGUUGGCGUUGCUGCUUCGUCGUCCAUCUCGAUAUCUUUCGUCAUCCUCAAGCAACCAAUUUUAAGGCUCUCCCACUUUUAAACUCUCUUGGUUGAUUUCUCUUUAUUAUUUCCUCCAAAGUGUUCGCUGAAAUUUCUACAUAAAACGUGACAUAUUUACAAAAUGUAAGUAAUGAUGUUAUUAUUGACUGGUUCAGAAUAUGAAAACUCGUCAAGGACAAUUCAUAUUUACAAAAUGUAAGUAAUGAUGUUAAUAUUGACUGGUUCAGAAUAUGAAAACUCGUAAAGGACAAUUGUAAAUGGAUGAUGUAUAUUUUUGUUAGAAGUUUUAUGCUUUGCGUCAAUUAGUUAUAGUUAUUUGUUCUUUUCCUUUGAUCGAUUUGUCUAUAUAGAUAAAAUAAGAUGAAUAACCCCAACCAAAGUCAAAGUUGAUCAAAUCGAUUAGUUUGGCACCCGGAACGUCCAUAUCCUGGAUCCGCCUCUGACCAUAAGGAUGUUCUUUGUCGUUGGGAACCCUUGCAGCUUUAAACGACAUCAAUGCCACUCCAGUCAGAACCUGCAAAGACAGAACCGAACAUUAAACAUUUAGUUGAUUCAACAUCACUCUAACCUCCAGGGGAGGAUGCAAGUGUUAGGUAGCAGGUCCAUCCCAACCCACUAGAUUCAACUCGACUACUAAAUACACAGUUAAUAUUUUGUUUAAAAUAGCAAGUCUCUCCAGCCUACUGCUUCUGUAUCUUACUUCCACGGAUAGUACUUUCAUUUCUAAUCUUCAUUAAUCAAGUCAUACCCCUAUUUUCUAACGUAUUCCAGGCUUGACCACGGCUAGUACUUUCAUUUCUAAUCUUCAUUAAUCAAGUCAUACCCCUAUUUUCUAACGUAUUCCAGGCUUGUUCCAAAAUGUUAUUCUGAAAAUCCUUAGAAUCUAAAGUUGGAAAAAACAUGAGAAAGCCAAGAAAGAAGAAAAGAUAUCCAGAUAGCAGCUUAGAUUUUGCAAAAUAAAUGAUGUUGAGACCAAGAGAGUAGUGCAUUCAGCCUAUUAAAGGGGAAAUUGUGAAAAAUCGAGAAGAGACAACCAGAGUUAAAUAAAAUCAGAAAUACAUACCCGAAAUCAUGAGUACACUAUGAAAUCUUCGCAAAAACCAAGUGGGUUUUGUUCAAAUGUAGAACAUACCCGAAAUCAUAAGUACACUAUGAAAUCUUCGCAAAAACCAAGUGGGUUUUGUUCAAAUGUAGCUUAGAUGAGCCCGAGAGAGAGAGCAUGUAGAUAUAGAAAUAGGAAAAGUAGCAGAUUUGGUAGGCAUAAGAUCUUAGAGAGAUAGAGAGAGAGACUUAUUUCUCAUAUCUUUCUACUUCAUAGUCAACUGGCCUUUGUAGCAUCAGUAAUAU
rnacentral:lncRNA from 1 species